rnacentral:rRNA from 1 species
GGGUUGUGAGGUUAAGCGACUAAGCGUACACGGUGGAUGCCCUGGCAGUCAGAGGCGAUGAAGGGCGUGCUAAUCUGCGAUAAGCGCCGGUAAGGUGAUAUGAACCGUUAUAACCGGCGAUACCCGAAUGGGGAAACCCAGUGUGACUCGUCACACUAUCAUUAACUGAAUCCAUAGGUUAAUGAGGCGAACCGGGGGAACUGAAACAUCUAAGUACCCCGAGGAAAAGAAAUCAACCGAGAUUCCCCCAGUAGCGGCGAGCGAACGGGGAGGAGCCCAGAGCCUGAAUCAGCAUGUGUGUUAGUGGAAGCGUCUGGAAAGGCGCGCGAUACAGGGUGACAGCCCCGUACACAAAAGCGCAUGUGCUGUGAGCUCGAUGAGUAGGGCGGGACACGUGGUAUCCUGUCUGAAUAUGGGGGGACCAUCCUCCAAGGCUAAAUACUCCUGACUGACCGAUAGUGAACCAGUACCGUGAGGGAAAGGCGAAAAGAACCCCGGCGAGGGAGUGAAAAAGAACCUGAAACCUGUACGUACAAGCAGUGGGAGCACAGGUUUACCUGUGUGACUGCGUACCUUUUGUAUAAUGGGUCAGCGACUUAUAUUCUGUAGCAAGGUUAACCGUAUAGGGGAGCCGUAGGGAAACCGAGUCUUAACCGGGCGUUAAGUUGCAGGGUAUAGACCCGAAACCCGGUGAUCUAGCCAUGGGCAGGUUGAAGGUUGGGUAACACUAACUGGAGGACCGAACCGACUAAUGUUGAAAAAUUAGCGGAUGACCUGUGGCUGGGGGUGAAAGGCCAAUCAAACCGGGAGAUAGCUGGUUCUCCCCGAAAGCUAUUUAGGUAGCGCCUCGUGAAUUCAUCUCCGGGGGUAGAGCACUGUUUCGGCUAGGGGGCCAUCCCGGCUUACCAACCCGAUGCAAACUGCGAAUACCGGAGAAUGUUAUCACGGGAGACACACGGCGGGUGCUAACGUCCGUCGUGAAGAGGGAAACAACCCAGACCGCCAGCUAAGGUCCCAAAGUCAUGGUUAAGUGGGAAACGAUGUGGGAAGGCCCAGACAGCCAGGAUGUUGGCUUAGAAGCAGCCAUCAUUUAAAGAAAGCGUAAUAGCUCACUGGUCGAGUCGGCCUGCGCGGAAGAUGUAACGGGGCUAAACCAUGCACCGAAGCUGCGGCAGCGACGCUGAUGCGUUGUUGGGUAGGGGAGCGUUCUGUAAGCCUGUGAAGGUGGCCUGUGAGGGUUGCUGGAGGUAUCAGAAGUGCGAAUGCUGACAUAAGUAACGAUAAAGCGGGUGAAAAGCCCGCUCGCCGGAAGACCAAGGGUUCCUGUCCAACGUUAAUCGGGGCAGGGUGAGUCGACCCCUAAGGCGAGGCCGAAAGGCGUAGUCGAUGGGAAACGGGUUAAUAUUCCCGUACUUGGUGUUACUGCGAAGGGGGGACGGAGAAGGCUAUGUUGGCCGGGCGACGGUUGUCCCGGUUUAAGCGUGUAGGUGUGUGUUCCAGGUAAAUCCGGUUCACUUUAACACUGAGGCGUGAUGACGAGGCACUACGGUGCUGAAGCAACAAAUGCCCUGCUUCCAGGAAAAGCCUCUAAGCAUCAGGUAACAUCAAAUCGUACCCCAAACCGACACAGGUGGUCAGGUAGAGAAUACCAAGGCGCUUGAGAGAACUCGGGUGAAGGAACUAGGCAAAAUGGUGCCGUAACUUCGGGAGAAGGCACGCUGACACGUAGGUGAAGUGAUUUACUCAUGGAGCUGAAGUCAGUCGAAGAUACCAGCUGGCUGCAACUGUUUAUUAAAAACACAGCACUGUGCAAACACGAAAGUGGACGUAUACGGUGUGACGCCUGCCCGGUGCCGGAAGGUUAAUUGAUGGGGUCAGCGCAAGCGAAGCUCCUGAUCGAAGCCCCGGUAAACGGCGGCCGUAACUAUAACGGUCCUAAGGUAGCGAAAUUCCUUGUCGGGUAAGUUCCGACCUGCACGAAUGGCGUAAUGAUGGCCAGGCUGUCUCCACCCGAGACUCAGUGAAAUUGAACUCGCUGUGAAGAUGCAGUGUACCCGCGGCAAGACGGAAAGACCCCGUGAACCUUUACUAUAGCUUGACACUGAACAUUGAGCCUUGAUGUGUAGGAUAGGUGGGAGGCUUUGAAGCGUGGACGCCAGUCUGCAUGGAGCCGGCCUUGAAAUACCACCCUUUAAUGUUUGAUGUUCUAACGUGGACCCGUGAUCCGGGUUGCGGACAGUGUCUGGUGGGUAGUUUGACUGGGGCGGUCUCCUCCUAAAGAGUAACGGAGGAGCACGAAGGUUGGCUAAUCCUGGUCGGACAUCAGGAGGUUAGUGCAAUGGCAUAAGCCAGCUUGACUGCGAGCGUGACGGCGCGAGCAGGUGCGAAAGCAGGUCAUAGUGAUCCGGUGGUUCUGAAUGGAAGGGCCAUCGCUCAACGGAUAAAAGGUACUCCGGGGAUAACAGGCUGAUACCGCCCAAGAGUUCAUAUCGACGGCGGUGUUUGGCACCUCGAUGUCGGCUCAUCACAUCCUGGGGCUGAAGUAGGUCCCAAGGGUAUGGCUGUUCGCCAUUUAAAGUGGUACGCGAGCUGGGUUUAGAACGUCGUGAGACAGUUCGGUCCCUAUCUGCCGUGGGCGCUGGAGAACUGAGGGGGGCUGCUCCUAGUACGAGAGGACCGGAGUGGACGCAUCACUGGUGUUCGGGUUGUCAUGCCAAUGGCACUGCCCGGUAGCUAAAUGCGGAAGAGAUAAGUGCUGAAAGCAUCUAAGCACGAAACUUGCCCCGAGAUGAGUUCUCCCUGAGACUUAGAGUCUCCUGAAGGAACGUUGAAGACGACGACGUUGAUAGGCCGGGUGUGUAAGCGCAGCGAUGCGUUGAGCUAACCGGUACUAAUGAACCGUGAGGCUUAACCUUACAACGCCGAAG